CGUGUAGGCGGCCAGGUAGGUGGGUUGUGAAAACUGGAGGCUCAACCUUCAGACGUCGACCCAAACCCCCUGGCUAGAGUCCGGAAGAGGAGAGUGGAAUUCCUGGUGUAGCGGUGAAAUGCGCAGAUAUCAGGAAGAACACCCGUGGCGAAGGCGGCUCUCUGGGACGGUACUGACGCUGAGACGCGAAAGCGGUGGGGAGCGAACA
rnacentral:rRNA from 1 species